rnacentral:rRNA from 1 species
AUUGAACGCUGGCGGCAUGCUUUACACAUGCAAGUCGAACGGCAGCGCGGGCUUCGGCCUGGCGGCGAGUGGCGAACGGGUGAGUAAUACAUCGGAACGUGCCCAGUAGUGGGGGAUAGCUCGGCGAAAGCCGGAUUAAUACCGCAUACGACCUGAGGGUGAAAUCGGGGGAUCUUCGGACCUCUCGCUAUUUGAGCGGCCGAUGGCAGAUUAGCUAGUUGGUGGGGUAAAGGCCUACCAAGGCGACGAUCUGUAGCUGGUCUGAGAGGACGACCAGCCACACUGGGACUGAGACACGGCCCAGACUCCUACGGGAGGCAGCAGUGGGGAAUUUUGGACAAUGGGCGAAAGCCUGAUCCAGCAAUGCCGCGUGUGUGAUGAAGGCCUUCGGGUUGUAAAGCACUUUUGGCGGGAACGAAAAGGACUGUGCCAAUACCACGGUUCGAUGACGGUACCCGCAGAAUAAGCACCGGCUAACUACGUG